rnacentral:lncRNA from 1 species
CUUGGCCCUGGUUCCUUCUGUUGGAUUGUCACAGGGUGUCUGUGAAAAGGACAGUGACAUGCACCAUUCUGUAGGAACCAUCAAAGAAGUUGUAUUUAGUGGCAUUUGCACUAUGGUCCUCCAGGUUCCACGAGCAUUGGCAGGUAAUCUGGGACUGAUAAACUCUGGCCAUGAAUUUCAGAUGGAGGUAUCUGUGGCUGAGCUUCUGUAUCUGCAUGGAGACAACCGGAUAAAUGAUCAGUUUCACAAUGCCACCAAUGUUGGAAACAAAAUGUUGGAAACAAAGCCCUCCAAUGACUUGAAGCUGGCAUGGAAAAUGAAGCAGUGCGGGGUCCUGAGCCACUGGUCCUGAAUGCAGGGCUGCCUUCAGCACACAGGUUGAGUAUUGGCAAGUGAAAGACACAGCACAGAUCCACUGGCUAGUAAACCUUGCUUUAGGGUGCUCAAAAACAUGGCCAAGUGAUGGGGAGCAUCAAAUUGAUGCAAAGUCAUUUUGGCAGCUCAAGCUUAUUGAAACAUUUCCAAAAGGACAACGUUCCCCUAGCAGACUCAAUAGUGGUAUGAGCAUUGUUUCUCUGUCAUCCAUCAUAACAUCAAGGCAAAUGAAGCAAUUUGAGGAACCGCAACAAGCAUUAUCUGGAAGAGUGGUUUUAUAGGGAAAGGUUAAAAGAGCUUAAUACACCCAGUUUUGUUAAAGCAGAGGUAGAUGGAGGCAUGUCUCCAGCCAGCAAAUGCUUAAGUAAUGCAAACCUUACAGAUGGAAAGGAAAUACUUGGGCUUAUACAUAUGGGAACAAGUAGGAAUAAAUGAAAAGAGGUGGGGAUAUACUGAAUAUCA